GAGUAGCUGAGACCACAGGCGUGUGCCACCAUGGCUAGCUAAUUUUUGUAUUUUAUUUUUGUAGAGACAGGGUUUUGCCAUGCUGCCUAGGCUGGUCUCAAACUCCUGGGCUCAAGUGAUCCACCCACCUGGCAAACGUCUAUGAAUUCCAUCAGAGGGCCUUACUGUGAAUGUAGGUUCUGUCCAGGAAGCUGUCCAGGAAGCUGUGAGAUCUUGGGCAAGUUACAUAUCUCUCUGUCUUUCAGUUUCUUGCGGUGGCUCACGCCUGUAAUCCCAGCACUUUGGGAGGCCGAGGCGGGCGGAUCACGAGGUCAAGAGAUCAAGACCAUCCUGGCCAACAUGGUGAAACCCCAUGUCUACUAAAAAUACAAAAAUGAGCCAGGUGUGGUGAUAUGUCAGGUCUGCAGUGAAGCUGUCUCGGGCAAAUGGGAAUAUAUGGUCACAUUAUUUAUGAACCCACUGCAGCUCUAC
rnacentral:lncRNA from 1 species